rnacentral:tRNA from 1 species
GACUCGUUGGUCUAGGGGAAUGAUUCUCGCUUUGGGUGCGAGAGGCCCCGGGUUCAAAUCCCGGACGAGCCCUCU